GGCGAACGCUGGCGGCGUGCCUAAUACAUGCAAGUGGGACGCAAGGAAACACACUGUGCUUGCACACCGUGUUUUCUUGAGUCGCGAACGGGUGAGUAACGCGUAGGUAACCUGCCUAUUAGCGGGGGAUAACUAUUGGAAACGAUAGCUAAUACCGCAUAAUAUUAAUUAUUGCAUGAUAAUUGAUUGAAAGAUGCAAGCGCAUCACUAGUAGAUGGACCUGCGUUGUAUUAGCUAGUUGGUAAGGUAAGAGCUUACCAAGGCGACGAUACAUAGCCGACCUGAGAGGGUGAUCGGCCACACUGGGACUGAGACACGGCCCAGACUCCUACGGGAGGCAGCAGUAGGGAAUCUUCGGCAAUGGACGAAAGUCUGACCGAGCAACGCCGCGUGAGUGAAGAAGGUUUUCGGAUCGUAAAGCUCUGUUGUAAGUCAAGAACGUGUGUGAGAGUGGAAAGUUCACACAGUGACGGUAGCUUACCAGAAAGGGACGGCUAACUACGUG
rnacentral:rRNA from 1 species